CAUAAUUUUAACCACCUAGUGAAAGCCAACACACUUAAUAAAUCUUCCACAACUUCCUUUAUUAUGUUCACUUAAUCUAGCUUGAAAGAUUUAAAAAAAGAAUGGAAUAACUGAAUAAGACUCACUUGAAAGUUGUAUGACAAUUUCCCAGAAGUAUAGUAGGCGCGAGUAGGCGAGGGCUCUUCAAGUCUUCAACUGCAUAAAGUUCACAUCAAAUGGUUAGAUCCAGGGAACAAGAAGAAUGAAACGAAGCUUAGUUGACACCCUUCAGUUGCAUCUAGUGUCGAAAGUAAAGAAGAUAAAAGCGAUUCGAAUACGAGACGGCGUAGCAGACACGGCCUUUACCACUAAGCUACUCUACAUGAAAUUACGAAAUCAAAACAUUCCUAACCAUUUUCAGCCAAGUACCCUUUAACGGAUGUAAUCGACAUCCGGAAAUAGUCAAUAACGGAUUGGCGACCAGAGUGUAAUGGUUUAUGGCAUCUAGUGUUGUAUCAAAAGGCCCCGGAUUCGAUUCCUACUCCCUCCACACUGUGUCCUAUUGUUUCCCAUGUCUGUCUGUAUAACCUAACCCUACAUGUACAAAUUUAACACACAACUACUAACUAAAUAUAAUUCUUACUCACACAUUUACUAACACUAAUGCACUGCGGCAUUUAAAAGAAACAAACCUUGAGAUAAACAAUUCAGAGAUCGAUUGCCAUCGUAAUUUGUGCGACAAUCUUGUACGCCGCUGUACUCGAACAUUGAUUACUGCUGUAAUAGGCUGGCAUGAGAUGGCAAACCUGAAUGCAAACCUUUUUGUUUCUCUUUCAAAAAGGAAUGUUAAAAUAAUUCC